UACAAGGCCUUUACUGACGCUAAAGCUCGAAGGUGCGGGUAUCGAACAGGAUUAGAUACCCUGGUAGUCCGCACGGUAAACGAUGGAUGCCCGCUGUUCGCGAUAGACUGUGAGCGGCCAAGAGAAAUCGUUAAGCAUCCCACCUGGGGAGUACGCCGGCAACGGUGAAACUCAAAGGAAUUGACGGGGGCCCGCACAAGCGGAGGAACAUGUGGUUUAAUUCGAUGAUACGCGAGGAACCUUACCCGGGCUUGAACUGCCAGCGAACGAUACAGAGAUGUUGAGGCCCUUCGGGGCGCUGGUGGAGGUGCUGCAUGGUUGUCGUCAGCUCGUGCCGUGAGGUGUCGGCUUAAGUGCCAUAACGAGCGCAACCCUUUUCAUUAGUUGCCAUCAGGUGAUGCUGGGCACUCUGGUGAUACUGCCACCGUAAGGUGUGAGGAAGGUGGGGAUGACGUCAAAUCAGCACGGCCCUUACGUCCGGGGCUACACACGUUGACGGGCGGGGUGUACAGAGGGCAGGAUGCACGCAAGUGCGUUCAAAUCUUAAAAGCCAUCCUCAGUUAAUGAUUGGGGUAUGCAACCCGACCCCAAGAAGCAGAU
rnacentral:rRNA from 1 species